rnacentral:rRNA from 1 species
GAUGAACGCUAGCUACAGGCUUAACACAUGCAAGUCGAGGGGCAGCAUGAACUUAGCUUGCUAAGUUUGAUGGCGACCGGCGCACGGGUGAGUAACACGUAUCCAACCUGCCGAUGACUCGGGGAUAGCCUUUCGAAAGAAAGAUUAAUACCCGAUGGCAUAAUUCUUCCGCAUGGUAGAACUAUUAAAGAAUUUCGGUCAUCGAUGGGGAUGCGUUCCAUUAGGUUGUUGGCGGGGUAACGGCCCACCAAGCCUUCGAUGGAUAGGGGGUUCUGAGAGGAAGGUCCCCCACAUUGGAACUGAGACACGGUCCAAACUCCUACGGGAGGCAGCAGUGAGGAAUAUUGGUCAAUGGACGAGAGUCUGAACCAGCCAAGUAGCGUGAAGGAUGACUGCCCUAUGGGUUGUAAACUUCUUUUAUACGGGAAUAAAGUGAGGCCACGUGUGCCUUUUUGUAUGUACCGUAUGAAUAAGGAUCGGCUAACUCCGUG